rnacentral:rRNA from 1 species
AUUGAACGCUGGCGGCAGGCCUAACACAUGCAAGUCGAACGAGUGGCGGACGGGUGAGUAAUGUCUGGGAAACUGCCCGAUGGAGGGGGAUAACUACUGGAAACGGUAGCUAAUACCGCAUACCAUCGGAUGAGCCCAUAGGGGAUUAGCUAGUAGGGGGGGUAACGGCUCACCUAGGCGACGAUCCCUAGCUGGUCUGAGAGGAUGACCAGCAACACUGGGACUGAGACACGGCCCAGACUCCUACGGGAGGCAGCAGUGGGGAAUAUUGCACAAUGGGCGCAAGCCUGAUGCAGCCAUGCCGCGUGUAUGAAGAAGGCCUUAGGGUUGUAAAGUACUUUCAGUGAGGAGGCGUUACCCGCAGAAGAAGCACCGGCUAACUCCGUGCCAGCAGCCGCGGUAAUAC